rnacentral:rRNA from 1 species
CGCACGGGUGCGUAACGCGUAUGCAACCUACCAUCAACAGGGGGAUAACACUGAGAAAUUGGUACUAAUACCCUAUAAUAUCUCAUGCGGCAUCGCAUGGGGUUGAAAACUCCGGUGGUUGAUGAUGGGCAUGCGUUGUAUUAGCUGGUUGGUGAGGUAACGGCUCACCAAGGCGACGAUACAUAGGGGGACUGAGAGGUUAACCCCCCACAUUGGUACUGAGACACGGACCAAACUCCUACGGGAGGCAGCAG